rnacentral:tRNA from 1 species
AAAGAAUUAGUUAAAUAAUAAUUUAAGUUUGUCAAACUUAAGUUGCCAUUAUGGUAUUCUUUU